UGACCCCAUGCCGAACUCAGAAGUGAAACGCCGUAGCGCCGAUGGUAGUGUGGGGUUUCCCCAUGUGAGAGUAGGGAACUGCCAGGC
rnacentral:rRNA from 2 species